GAUGAACGCUGGCGGCGUGCUUAACACAUGCAAGUCGAACGAAGCACUUUAUUUGAUUUCCUUCGGGACUGAUUAUUUUGUGACUGAGUGGCGGACGGGUGAGUAACGCGUGGGUAACCUGCCUUGUACAGGGGGAUAACAGUUGGAAACGGCUGCUAAUACCGCAUAAGCGCACAGCAUCGCAUGAUGCAGUGUGAAAACCUCCGGUGGUAUAAGAUGGACCCGCGUUGGAUUAGCUAGUUGGUGAGGUACCGGCCCACCAAGGCGACGAUCCAUAGCCGAGCAGAGAGGGUGAGCGGCCACAUUGGGACUGAGACACGGCCCAGACUCCUACAGGAGGCAGGAGUGGGGGAUAUUGCACAAUGGGCGAAAGCCUGAUGCAGCGACGACGCGUGAGCGAAGAAGUAUUUCGGUAUGUAAAGCUCUAUCAGCAGGGAAGAUAAUGACGGUACCUGACUAAGAAGCACCGGCUAAAUACGUG
rnacentral:rRNA from 1 species